rnacentral:rRNA from 1 species
AGAGUUUGAUCAUGGCUCAGGACGAACGCUGGCGGCGUGCCUAAUACAUGCAAGUCGAGCGGACUCUUGGCUUUCCUUCGGGAAAGCCCUGGGUUAGCGGCGGACGGGUGAGUAACACGUAGGUAACCUGCCGGUCAGAUCGGAAUAACCCACGGAAACGUGAGCUAAAACCGGAUAGAGGGGAAUCUCGCAUGAGAAGCCCCGGAAAGGCGGAGCAAUCUGUCGCUGAUCGAUGGGCCUGCGGCGCAUUAGCUAGUUGGAGAGGUAACGGCUCCCCAAGGCGACGAUGCGUAGCCGACCUGAGAGGGUGAACGGCCACACUGGGACUGAGACACGGCCCAGACUCCUACGGGAGGCAGCAGUAGGGAAUCUUCGGCAAUGGACGCAAGUCUGACCGAGCAACGCCGCGUGAGGGAUGACGGCCUUCGGGUUGUAAACCUCUUUCACCGAUGACGAAGCGCGAGUGACGGUAGUCGGAGAAGAAGCACCGGCCAACUACGUGCCAGCAGCGGCGGUAAUUC